rnacentral:rRNA from 1 species
CAGUCGAGGGGCAGCAUAUGGAUUGCUUGCAAUCCAUGAUGGCGACCGGCGCACGGGUGCGUAACGCGUAUGUAACUUGCCUUAUGCAGGAGGAUAACCCGAAGAAAUUCGGCCUAAUACUCCAUAAGUGUCAGAGAGGCAUCUUUCGGGCAUGAAAGAUUUAUCGGCAUAAGAUAGACAUGCGUGACAUUAGCUAGUCGGUGAGGUAACGGCUCACCGAGGCGACGAUGUCUAGGGGUUCUGAGAGGAAGGUCCCCCACACUGGUACUGAGACACGGACCAGACUCCUACGGGAGGCAGCAGUGAGGAAUAUUGGUCAAUGGACGGAAGUCUGAACCAGCCAUGCCGCGUGCAGGAUGACGGCUCUAUGAGUUGUAAACUGCUUUUGUACGAGAAUAAUAGUUCUUACGUGUAGGGAUUUGAAUGUAUCGUACGAAUAAGGAUCGGCUAACUCCGUGCCAGCAGCCGCGGUAAUACGGAGGAUUCGAGCGUUAUCCGGAUUUAUUGGGUUUAAAGGGUGCGUAGGCUGUCGGAUAAGUUAGAGGUCAAAUGUCGGGGCUUAACCCCGUGCCUGCCUCUGAUACUGUUCGACUGGAGAGCGGAUGCAGCAGGCGGAAUGAGUAGUGUAGCGGUGAAAUGCUUAGAUAUUACUCAGAACACCGAUUGCGCAGGCAGCUUGCUAAUCCGCAUCUGACGCUGAUGCACGAAAGC